AGGGAAACCGAGUCUUAACUGGGCGUUAAGUUGCAGGGUAUAGACCCGAAACCCGGUGAUCUAGCCAUGGGCAGGUUGAAGGUUGGGUAACACUAACUGGAGGACCGAACCGACUAAUGUUGAAAAAUUAGCGGAUGACUUGUGGCUGGGGGUGAAAGGCCAAUCAAACCGGGAGAUAGCUGGUUCUCCCCGAAAGCUAUUUAGGUAGCGCCUCGUGAACUCAUCUUCGGGGGUAGAGCACUGUUUCGGCUAGGGGGUCAUCCCGACUUACCAACCCGAUGCAAACUGCGAAUACCGAAGAAUGUUAUCACGGGAGACACACGGCGGGUGCUAACGUCCGUAGUGAAGAGGGAAACAACCCAGACCGCCAGCUAAGGUCCCAAAGUCACAGUUAAGUGGGAAACGAUGUGGGAAGGCUCAGACAGCCAGGAUGUUGGCUUAGAAGCAGCCAUCAUUUAAAGAAAGCGUAAUAGCUCACUGGUCGAGUCGGCCUGCGCGGAAGAUGUAACGGGGCUAAACUGUGCACCGAAGCUGCGGCAGCGACGCUUAUGCGUUGUUGGGUAGGGGAGCGUUCUGUAAGCCUGCGAAGGUGUCCUGUGAGGGAUGCUGGAGGUAUCAGAAGUGCGAAUGCUGACAUAAGUAACGAUAA
rnacentral:rRNA from 1 species